ensembl:lncRNA
AUUAGACACACACAGGUACACCGAGUAUGGACCUGCCGCAAGUACACCUGCUUUCAGCCCACUUAGCAAAAACCGUCUGUCAGCCAAAAGUGGUGUGAACAGUCCGCAGGGCUCUGGGCAAUUACCGUUUCACCGAUACCGGCAUUGAGCCGACAGCGGCGCAUUUCUACCGGAAUCGACCCAGUGUUAUUGCUAUCUGGGUAGAGAACACUUUUCCCCUUAGGUCACAGGCGGAUAUGACUUAUUUAAAUCAACAUUGUACAUUCUAUCAGCUUUCGCGUUUUGGGUCACGCAUCUUACGUUUGCCUGCGUCUCCAGAUUUUUCUCCACCAUUUUCUAUUACUCCAGGGAUUAAGACGGAAGGACACUGAUUUGGAGGCGACCUAUAAAAGAACAGUGAAACUGGGCAUCCUUGAAGUCAUGGAAGAAGACCUUUCACAGGCAGCAAAGCAGAUAUUUAUAAACAUCAUCAUCAUCAUCAAUCAGAGGGAACUGUAGUCAUGGAGGACCGAUCUGACUUUCCUGCUGUCAUGCUGCUCAACUGCCGUGGCUUGGAAGGAAUUCACAGAAGCUUAAUCGAAGGCAGCACCUUCAGUGGACUUAAAUAUCCCUUUCACAAGUGCAGAUUGCUGCAGGCUUCCUCAGUAAAAAAUUGCAAUUAUAUGUAAAUCAAUAUUUUUGUUGUUUUAAUGAUACUGAUGGCAAGUUGACAAUCUUGAUUAAUAUAAAAAAAAUCAAAAAAAUAUAUAAGUAAUACAAGCAGAGAUGCACCGAAUGCAAUUUUCUUGGCUGGUUUUUUUUUUCUGAUUUUCUGUCUAAGAACUAUAAUUGACAGCAUAUACAAGCAAAAAUCUACUUUUCUUUAAUG